AUUGAACGCUGGCGGCAGGCCUAACACAUGCAAGUCGAGCGGAUGAAGGGAGCUUGCUCCUGGAUUCAGCGGCGGACGAGUGAGUAAUGCCUAGGAAUCUGCCUGGUAGUGGGGGAUAACGUCCGGAAACGGGCGCUAAUACCGCAUACGUCCUGAGGGAGAAAGUGGGGGAUCUUCGGACCUCACGCUAUCAGAUGAGCCUAGGUCGGAUUAGCUAGUUGGUGGGGUAAAGGCCUACCAAGGCGACGAUCCGUAACUGGUCUGAGAGGAUGAUCAGUCACACUGGAACUGAGACACGGUCCAGACUCCUACGGGAGGCAGCAGUGGGGAAUAUUGGACAAUGGGCGAAAGCCUGAUCCAGCCAUGCCGCGUGUGUGAAGAAGGUCUUCGGAUCGUAAAGCACUUUAAGUUGGGAGGAAGGGCAGUAAGUUAAUACCUUGCUGUUUUGACGUUACCAACAGAAUAAGCACCGGCUAACUUCGUG
rnacentral:rRNA from 1 species